rnacentral:misc_RNA from 1 species
CCAAUAGCGUAUAUUAAAGUUGUUGCAGUUAAAAAGCUCGUAGUUGAAUUUCGGGAUCAAUAUAUCGGUCGUGCCAUUGGUACGUACUGGUAUCAUUGGUUUCUCCUUUCUGACGAACCAUGAUGUCAUUAAUUUGGUGUUAUGGGAAGUUAGGACUGUUACUUUGAAAAAAUUAGAGUGUUUAAAGCAGGCUUUAGCUUGAAUACAUUAGCAUGGAAUAAUGAAAUAGGACGUUCGAACCUAUUUUGUUGGUUUCUAGGAUCAACGUAAUGAUUAAUAGGGAUAGUUGGGGGCAUUAGUAUUCAAUUGUCAGAGGUGAAAUUCUUGGAUUUAUUGAAGACUAACUACUGCGAAAGCAUUUGCCAAGGAUGUUUUCAUUAAUCAAGAACGAAAGUUAGGGGAUCGAAGACGAUCAGAUACCGUCGUAGUCUUAACCAUAAACUAUGCCGACUAGGGAUCGGAUGAUGUUAAUUUUUUAAUGACUCGUUUGGCACCUUACG